CCCAUGAUUCCUCCUCCUACCGCCAUCUUGUUUCGUCCGCUGGCUUUCCAACAAAACCGGCGAACUUUGACAAGAUUUUACAGCAUUUAGACGCAUUCUGAGAAAGGAGCAAACUCCAAGAGGUAAAGAUGACGAGUUUUGGAGAAACGAAGUUGAAGAAUGCCGGUGAUUACGUGGUCCGUAACGCUUCCUUGGAGAAUAUGUGGCGAGGAAUGAGUCGUGUAUGGAACAGCUACCGGGCCAAGUACGUUACUUGCAAGAAUGCACGUAUGACACCAUUCUGGCACGCUGUCUUCGUUGCUGCUGCUCUUAACUACGCUAUUGAAUACAAUCAUCUCAAAGAUCAUGCAAGAAUGAGGAAGUACCAUUGAGGUCCUGUGUAACCUGCUGUUUGCCAUGUGUUGUGCUCUGGUGUGCUUUGGGAAGAUUUCAAGGACUUUUUCAUAUACCCACUCUAUGAUGGUGAAAUAGCAGGACUUGGAGACUUCUUUUUUGUAAAUGAUUGUGUUAAAUGAAUAUACUUACCAUUCUUUGAA